rnacentral:rRNA from 1 species
AGUCGAACGAAUCCUUUCGGGGAUGAGUGGCGGACGGGUGAGUAACGCGUGAGAAUCUGCCAAAAGGACUGGGACAACCACUGGAAACGGUGGCUAAUACCAGAUGUGCCGCGACGUAAAAGAGGAAACUCGCCUUUUGAGGAGCUCGCGUCUGAUUAGCUAGUUGGUGAGGUAAAAGCUCACCAAGGCAACGAUCAGUAGCUGGUCUGAGAGGACGACCAGCCACACUGGGACUGAGACACGGCCCAGACUCCUACGGGAGGCAGCAGUGGGGAAUUUUCCGCAAUGGGCGAAAGCCUGACGGAGCAAGACCGCGUGAGGGAGGAAGGCUCUUGGGUCGUAAACCUCUUUUGUCAGGGAAGAACACAAUGACGGUACCUGACGAAUCAGCAUCGGCUAACUCCGUGCCAGCAGCCGCGGUAAUACGGAGGAUGCAAGCGUUAUCCGGAAUUAUUGGGCGUAAAGCGUCCGUAGAUGGUUUUGCCAGUCGGCUGUCAAAGCGCAGGGCUUAACCCUGUAAAGGCAGUGGAAACUACAAGACUAGAGUGCAGUAGGGGCAGAGGGAAUUCCCAGUGUAGCGGUGAAAUGCGUAGAGAUUGGGAAGAACACCCGUGGCGAAAGCGCUCUGCUGGACUGCAACUGACAUUGAGGGACGAAAGCUAGGGGAGCGAAUGGGAUUAGAUACCCCAGUAGUCCUAGCCGUA